GAUCAAGCGUCUUAAGGGCAUCUGGUGAAUGCCUUGGCGACAAGAGGCGAUGAAGGACGUGGUACGCUGCGAUAAGCCAUGGGGAGCUGCGAACAAGCUUUGAUCCAUGGAUUUCCGAAUGGGGAAACCCACCCGCAAGGGUAUCUUGCACUGAAUACAUAGGUGUAAGAGGCGAACCUGGGGAACUGAAACAUCUAAGUACCCAGAGGAAAGGACAUCAACCGAGACUCCGUUAGUAGUGGCGAGCGAACGCGGACCAGGCCAGUGUCAAACAUGAGAAAACUGGAACCGUCUGGAAAGGCGGGCCGUAGUGGGUGAUAGCCCCGUACAGGUAAAUCGAAUGUUUGACCUCGAGUAGGGCGGGACACGUGAAAUCCUGUCUGAACAUGGGGGGACCACCCUCCAAGCCUAAGUACUCCUUGUCGACCGAUAGUGAACUAGUACCGUGAGGGAAAGGUGAAAAGCACCCCGACGAGGGGAGUGAAAUAGUACCUGAAACCGGAUGCCUACAAACAGUCGGAGCCCGCAAGGGUGACGGCGUACCUUUUGUAUAAUGGGUCAGCGACUUAAUCUGGCAUGCAAGCUUAAGCCGAUAGGUGUAGGCGCAGCGAAAGCGAGUCUUAAUAGGGCGAUUAAGUAUGUCGGAUUAGACCCGAAACCGGGUGAUCUAGCCAUGAGCAGGUUGAAGGUGGGGUAACACCCACUGGAGGACCGAACCCACGAAUGUUGAAAAAUUCGGGGAUGACUUGUGGCUAGGGGUGAAAGGCCAAUCAAACUCGGAAAUAGCUGGUUCUCCGCGAAAUCUAUUUAGGUAGAGCGUCGAGUGAAUACCCAUGGGGGUAGAGCACUGGAUGGGCUAGGGGUCCUCACCGGAUUACCAAACCUAACCAAACUCCGAAUACCAUGGAGUACUACUCGGCAGACACACUACGGGUGCUAAGGUCCGUAGUGGAGAGGGAAACAGCCCUGACCGCCAGCUAAGGUCCCUAAGUUAUGGCUAAGUGGGAAAGGAUGUGAGGGUGCACAGACAACCAGGAUGUUGGCUUAGAAGCAGCCAUCAUUUAAAGAAAGCGUAACAGCUCACUGGUCAAGCGCUCUUGCGCCGAAGAUGUAACGGGGCUAAAGCCAUACACCGAAGCUGCGGGUGUACACUUUUGUGUACGCGGUAGCGGAGCGUUCUGUACGUCUGCGAAGGGUGACCCGCGAGGGCACCUGGAGAUAUCAGAAGUGAGAAUGCUGACAUGAGUAGCGAUAAAGAGUGUGAGAGACACUCUCGCCGAAAGUCCAAGGGUUCCUGCGUAAAGCUAAUCUGCGCAGGGUUAGUCGGCCCCUAAGGCGAGGCAGAAAUGCGUAGUCGAUGGGAAACAGGUUAAUAUUCCUGUACUUGGAGGUAGUGACGAAUACCGUAAGUUGUCAGUCCUUAUUGGAUUGGUCUGGCAGCGAAGGCGUUCCAGGAAAUAGCUCCUCCGUUAAAACCGUACCCGAAACCGACACAGGUGGACUGGUAGAGCAUACCAAGGCGCUUGAGAGAACUGCGUUGAAGGAACUCGGCAAAAUGCUCCCGUAAGUUCGCGAGAAGGGAGACCUCCAUUUGGGCAACCAGGUGGAGGUGGCACAGACCAGUGGGUAGCGACUGUUUAUUAAAAACACAGGGCUCUGCGAAGCCGCAAGGCGACGUAUAGGGUCUGACGCCUGCCCGGUGCCGGAAGGUUAAAAGGAGGGGUGCAAGCUCCGAAUUGAAGCCCCGGUAAACGGCGGCCGUAACUAUAACGGUCCUAAGGUAGCGAAAUUCCUUGUCGGGUAAGUUCCGACCUGCACGAAUGGCGUAACGACUUCCCAGCUGUCUCCAACGCAGACUCAGCGAAAUUGAAUUCCCCGUGAAGAUGCGGGGUUCCUGCGGUCAGACGGAAAGACCCCGUGCACCUUUACUAUAGCUUUACACUGGCAUUAGUGGCGGCAUGUGUAGGAUAGGUGGUAGGCUUUGAAGCUUGGGCGCCAGCUCAGGUGGAGCCACCCUUGAAAUACCACCCUUAUCUUCAUUGAUGUCUAACCGCGAUCCGUUAUCCGGAUCCGGGACAGUGUAUGGUGGGUAGUUUGACUGGGGCGGUCGCCUCCCAAAGAGUAACGGAGGCGCGCGAUGGUAGGCUCAAGCUGGUCGGAAAUCAGCUGUUGAGUGCAAUGGCAUAAGCCUGCCUGACUGUGAGGCCGACGGGCCGAACAGAGUCGAAAGACGGUCAUAGUGACCCGGUGGUCCCGCGUGGAAGGGCCAUCGAUCAACGGAUAAAAGGUACGCCGGGGAUAACAGGCUGAUACUGCCCAAGAGUCCAUAUCGACGGCAGUGUUUGGCACCUCGAUGUCGGCUCAUCUCAUCCUGGGGCUGGAGCAGGUCCCAAGGGUAUGGCUGUUCGCCAUUUAAAGAGGUACGUGAGCUGGGUUUAGAACGUCGUGAGACAGUUUGGUCCCUAUCUGCCGUGGGCGUAGGAGAAUUGAAAGGAUCUGUCCCUAGUACGAGAGGACCGGGAUGGACGCACCUCUGGUGGACCUGUUGUCGUGCCAACGGCACAGCAGGGUAGCUAUGUGCGGAAGGGAUAACCGCUGAAGGCAUCUAAGCGGGAAACCCACCUUGAGACUAGUUCUCCCUUGAGAGUCGUGGAAGACCACCACGUUGAUAGGCCGGGUGUGUAAGUGCGGCAACGCAUUGAGCUUACCGGUACUAAUUGCUCGAUUGGCUUGAUUGCU
rnacentral:rRNA from 1 species